rnacentral:rRNA from 1 species
AUUGAACGCUGGCGGCAUGCUUUACACAUGCAAGUCGAACGGUAACAGGUUAAGCUGACGAGUGGCGAACGGGUGAGUAAUGCAUCGGAACGUGCCCGAUCGUGGGGGAUAACGCAGCGAAAGCUGCGCUAAUACCGCAUACGAUCUGAGGAUGAAAGCGGGGGACCGUAAGGCCUCGCGCGAUCGGAGCGGCCGAUGUCAGAUUAGGUAGUUGGUGGGGUAAAGGCCCACCAAGCCGACGAUCUGUAGCUGGUCUGAGAGGACGACCAGCCACACUGGGACUGAGACACGGCCCAGACUCCUACGGGAGGCAGCAGUGGGGAAUUUUGGACAAUGGGCGCAAGCCUGAUCCAGCCAUUCCGCGUGCAGGAUGAAGGCCCUCGGGUUGUAAACUGCUUUUGUACAGAACGAAAAGGUUUCUACUAAUACUAGGAGCUCAUGACGGUACUGUAAGAAUAAGCAUCGGCUAACUACGUGCCAGCCGCCGCCGUAA